rnacentral:rRNA from 1 species
AGUGAACGCUGGCGGUAGGCCUAACACAUGCAAGUCGAACGGCAGCACAGUAAGAGCUUGCUCUUACGGGUGGCGAGUGGCGGACGGGUGAGGAAUACAUCGGAAUCUACUUUUUCGUGGGGGAUAACGUAGGGAAACUUACGCUAAUACCGCAUACGACCUACGGGUGAAAGCAGGGGACCUUCGGACCUUGCGCGAUUGUAUGAGCCGAUGUCGGAUUAGCUAGUUGGCGGGGUAAAGGCCCACCAAGGCGACGAUCCGUAGCUGGUCUGAGAGGAUGAUCAGCCACACUGGAACUGAGACACGGUCCAGACUCCUACGGGAGGCAGCAGUGGGGAAUAUUGGACAAUGGGCGCAAGCCUGAUCCAGCCAUACCGCGUGGGUGAAGAAGGCCUUCGGGUUGUAAAGCCCUUUUGUUAGGAAAGAAAAGCAGCAGGUUAAUACCCCGCUGUUCUGACGGUACCCAAAGAAUAAGCACCGGCUAACUUCGUG